GUCGACCACAUGACUUCACUUUAUGGCAGUGUCCAUCUUCACCCUGGGGACAGAAUGACUGUGGUCCAAAUAAGGUUGUUAAAAUUACCUGUUCAGUUUCAGAGGAAAAGACCCCUCAGAGUCAUCUGUCAUGCUCUACCUCCGCAUCUCCUUACCAGAGACAAUGUUCAAAUCAUCUUCCUCUCAGACUGAGUGGAGGGAAGGGUUUGUGUUCGGGGAGACUGGAGGUUUAUCAUAACUCUGUGUGGGGUUCAGUCUGUGAUGAUCUGUGGGACAUCAGAGAUGCUCAGGUGGUCUGCAGGCAGCUGGGUUGUGGAGCAGCAUUGAGUGCUGA